UCCCUAGUGGCUCAGACAGUAAAGCGUCUGUCUGCAAUCCAGGAGACUCGGGUUCGAUUCCUGAGUUGGGAA
rnacentral:tRNA from 1 species